AGUUAAGUGAAGAAGGGCGCACGGUGGAUGCCUUGGCACUAGGAGCCGAAGAAGGACGGGACAAACACCGAUAUGUCCUGGGGAGCCGUACGUAGGCAUUGAUCCAGGAAUUUCCGAAUGGGGAAACCCACUGCUCGUAAUGGAGUAGUACAUGUAUCUGAAUACAUAGGAUACAUG
rnacentral:rRNA from 1 species